CACGUGGGUGAUCUGCCCUGCACUUUGGGAUAAGCCUGGGAAACUGGGUCUAAUACCGAAUAGGACCGCAUGCUUCAUGGUGUGUGGUGGAAAGCUUUUGCGGUGUGGGAUGGGCCCGCGGCCUAUCAGCUUGUUGGUGAGGUAAUGGCUUACCAAGGCGACGACGGGUAGCCGGCCUGAGAGGGUGACCGGCCACACUGGGACUGAGAUACGGCCCAGACUCCUACGGGAGGCAGCAGUGGGGAAUAUUGCACAAUGGGCGCAAGCCUGAUGCAGCGACGCCGCGUGAGGGAUGACGGCCUUCGGGUUGUAAACCUCUUUCGCCAGGGACGAAGCGCAAGUGACGGUACCUGGAGAAGAAGGACCGGCCAACUA
rnacentral:rRNA from 1 species